rnacentral:rRNA from 1 species
ACAGACGAGGAGCUUGCUCCUCUGACGUUAGCGGCGGACGGGUGAGUAACACGUGGAUAACCUACCUAUAAGACUGGGAUAACUUCGGGAAACCGGAGCUAAUACCGGAUAAUAUAUUGAACCGCAUGGUUCAAUAGUGAAAGACGGUUUUGCUGUCACUUAUAGAUGGAUCCGCGCCGCAUUAGCUAGUUGGUAAGGUAACGGCUUACCAAGGCAACGAUGCGUAGCCGACCUGAGAGGGUGAUCGGCCACACUGGAACUGAGACACGGUCCAGACUCCUACGGGAGGCAGCAGUAGGGAAUCUUCCGCAAUGGGCGAAAGCCUGACGGAGCAACGCCGCGUGAGUGAUGAAGGUCUUCGGAUCGUAAAACUCUGUUAUUAGGGAAGAACAAAUGUGUAAGUAACUAUGCACGUCUUGACGGUACCUAAUCAGAAAGCCACGGCUAACUACGUGCCAGCAGCCGCGGUAAUACGUAGGUGGCAAGCGUUAUCCGGAAUUAUUGGGCGUAAAGCGCGCGUAGGCGGUUUUUUAAGUCUGAUGUGAAAGCCCACGGCUCAACCGUGGAGGGUCAUUGGAAACUGGAAAACUUGAGUGCAGAAGAGGAAAGUGGAAUUCCAUGUGUAGCGGUGAAAUGCGCAGAGAUAUGGAGGAACACCAGUGGCGAAGGCGACUUUCUGGUCUGUAACUGACGCUGAUGUGCGAAAGCGUGGGGAUCAAACAGGAUUAGAUACCCUGGUAGUCCACGCCGUAAACGAUGAGUGCUAAGUGUUAGGGGGUUUCC